UUGUUUUGAAUCUUGGUUGAGUUGCUUGUGUAGCGGGUCCUGGUGGGUGUUCACUAUCAGAUAUAGAGGUAAUCCUUUGAAAGGAAUGACCUGGAAACAGUGAAAGUGUUAGAGAAAUCAGCGACACAGGACAACAGUUGCUCAUUCUCCAUCCAUCCAGAUUAUGAGCUCGCCUUCACCUGGGCAUCACUAAACCUAAACGAUUAAAAGAUCUAAACAGAAGCUGAAACAUGAAAAAACAAAAAAGGAAUAAGUUAAAACCUGAUUCUAACACCUUAUUGCUUCUGCAAGGAUGUGGAGGAGCUGGACGAAGACCUCUCCAUGCAUGUGUAACCCAGGUUACCAGGCCUCAUGAACAGUCCAGCUCACCAAUUGAUUUAUUAGAUCAAUAAAUUAAUAAAUUCAUAUUUUUCUUCAUGUGACAAAUAAGUUACAGUCCUGAAUAAAUAGUGAAUAAAUAGGAUUUAUGGGUAAAAAUCAUAAAUAUGUUAAAAGAUUAAAAAGAUCAACACAGAGAAGUUUAUUUGUUUAAAAAAGAGUAUUUUAUUUCAUUUCAAGUGUGGCAAAAGAUGUGUGUAAAAGAUUCGGGUGACAUGAGGAGAUGAUGUAAUGGUGUAACCAAUCAGACGACAGCAGGGCGUACGUGCCUGAGAGCUUCCGGUUUUUUCUCUCUGUCUGCCGCAUCGUGUUAGAGGCAGCGCUUGUUAGCUUCUGCUGCAGACUACGCCGGUUUUUUUUGUCUAAAAGAGCCAGAUUUUCCAAGUCUAAGCCACUUUUAUGGUUGGAGCAAAGAGUGGAGCCCUUCUCUUUUCAUGGUAGAUGAGCGGACCGUGUGGUUAACAACGGAAACGGAGGAGAACCGUGGAUCCUGGACUGAUGAGAGCCCUGUAUUGUGCCUUGUGCCUGGAGUGUGUGUGAACUGUGAGCCUCUGGCCGGGUCUUUUUCUUUUCCUCGUCUUUUCCUUUUGUUUUAAUCCCCUUCCUUUGUUAUGGACUCCUGUGCUGACCUUGAAGAAAUCUUCUACUGGGGACUCAUCUUGUGUCUGUAAGGUAACACGGGACCUCAGUGGUUGUGGCGGGCCAACCCAAGGAAAGAACCAGAGACUCUGAUUUUGAUAGAAACUGAUUUAUUUGCGGAUCGUGGGUCAUAUUUCAUGUUUGAAGAGCUGAAAAGCAGAAAGAAUUGUUUUGUUGAAUUUAUUUUUUUUUUCUUCUUCUUCUUCAACUAUUCUUGUUCAAUACAAUCAUUUAUCAACUUAUCUUUGAAGUGUGUGAAGUUCUUUAUUCCGUCACUCAUUGCAGUUUGUCAAGCCUCCCUUUCUCCUGUAGCGACCUAGAACCUUCUGAUACUGGUCCGUGAGGUAAUUGAUGCAUUGAUGGAAAAAAUAUCUGUAUCUCCCAGUUUUUACCACUAACAGUUAGAGCUGAGGCAGGUUACACAUGUGAUGAAGAUUGCCAUCAUUGGUAAUGGACAUGCAACCAUCGUCAAUGAGGGAAACAAGAUCCUGCAGGGGAUUGAUGUCGCCAGAUCCUGUGCCUUGCUCAUGGGAAUAAUCUAUGCUCUUAAUCUUCAUCAAGACCAAUCUUCAGAGCAGAGUUCAUCAACCUUGCUUGAGUGAGAUGCUUACAUCACAAACACUCACACCUGCUUGUUUUUUAUUUCUGCCUGUGUUCUGUGACGGUGUUAGUGUAUUUGCUGUUUGCACUUGUAAGGAUUUAUUGCCACUAAGGAUUUAUUGAUGUUAACUUUAAUAAAUGUUUCUUAUAAAUGUGA